rnacentral:rRNA from 1 species
AUUGAACGCUGGCGGCAGGCCUAACACAUGCAAGUCGAACGGUAACAGGAAGCAGCUUGCUGCUUCGCUGACGAGUGGCGGACGGGUGAGUAAUGUCUGGGAAACUGCCUGAUGGAGGGGGAUAACUACUGGAAACGGUAGCUAAUACCGCAUAACGUCGCAAGACCAAAGAGGGGGACCUUAGGGCCCCUUGCCAUCGGAUGUGCCCAGAUGGGGUUAGCUAGUAGGUGGGGUAACGGCUCACCUAGGCGACGAUCCCUAGCUGGUCUGAGAGGAUGACCAGCCACACUGGAACUGAGACACGGUCCAGACUCCUACGGGAGGCAGCAGUGGGGAAUAUUGCACAAUGGGCGCAAGCCUGAUGCAGCCAUGCCGCGUGUAUGAAGAAGGCCUUCGGGUUGUAAAGUACUUUCAGCGGGGAGGAAGGGAGUAAAGUUAAUACCUUUGCUCAUUGACGUUACCCGCAGAAGAAGCACCGGCUAACUCCGUG